rnacentral:ribozyme from 1 species
AGCAAUACCGCACUGAUAUGGGCAUGGAUCCGAAGCCUCUAGAAGGAUAAUAUAGGCACUCCAUACCCUACUCCGACUCAAUACGUAUCCUUCGUACAGAAUGGUAACAUAUCUCUCCAAAUAUCUGAGCUUGGGUAAACGGGGAAACCCAACCCCUUGGGAAGAUGGGUUAUAUGGCUAAAUUGAGCUGA